GAUGAACGCUGGCGGCGUGCCUAAUACAUGCCAGUCGAGCGAACAGACGAGGAGCUUACUCCUCUGACGUUAGCGGCGGACGGGUGAGUAACACGUGGAUAACCUACCUAUAAGACUGGGAUAACUUCGGGAAACCGGAGCUAAUACCGGAUAACAUGUUGAACCGCAUGGUUCAACAGUGAAAGACGGUCUUGCUGUCACUUAUAGAUGGAUCCGCGUCGCAUUAGCUAGUUGGUAAGGUAACGGCUUACCAAGGCAACGAUGCGUAGCCGACCUGAGAGGGUGAUCGGCCACACUGGAACUGAGACACGGUCCAGACUCCUACGGGAGGCAGCAGUAGGGAAUCUUCCGCAAUGGGCGAAAGCCUGACGGAGCAACGCCGCGUGAGUGAAGAAGGUCUUCGGAUCGUAAAACUCUGUUAUUAGGGAAGAACAAAUGUGUAAGUAACUAUGCACGUCUUGACGGUACCUAAGCAGAAAGCCACGGCUAACUACGU
rnacentral:rRNA from 1 species